rnacentral:lncRNA from 1 species
ACUUCAAAUUCCAUCACGUAGUUUCACACUUUCGCACUUUAGUACCAUGUGGUUUAAAGUGUAUCAAGUUAGUGUUCUGUGGUUUUAUUUUUCUCUUUUCGUCAGUUUUUCCGUUAAUAUUUCAUUAAAUUAUAUACAAAAAACUUCAGAUACCUCACCUAUAUAUAUUUAUUAAGGCUUAGUUUGGUAUUGAGGUCUAUCUAACGCUAUUAGAUAAAAUGAAGUUGAGAAAAAAACAUAUAGGAUAUGCUUCUGCGUUCUCCGGUGGGACUGCAGAAAAUAUAUCAUAACCGACUCAUCGCGAGAUGCGGAAUGCAAUAUUACGUAGGAAAACAAACAAGAUAUUUUUCGAUCGUCGUUUCUCACCGUAUGUAACGUAAUUUUCCCGCAAGCCUAAAUGAAGCCUAAAUAUUCACUUUCUUACCCUUUAGUUUUAACUUUGUCACUGAUUCAAUGAAAAAAAUUAGUGGAAUCGAUAAUAAAAAAAUAAAAAUAAGACCACAUGACACUAAAUUGAUACAUUUUAAACCUCGGGGUACUAAAGUGUGAAACCACAGGAGAGGUAUUUGAAGUUUUUCCAAAAAAAAGUACAUGAAACACGGCACGACUCGAAUACUAAACACCAGGUAAGAAUACAGUAUAAAUACUAUUAAUAAAAUAUAAUAUUAUUAUUUGUGAUAAUAUAUAUAUUUAUUAGAAUAUGAUUGCUAUACUAUCAGUAGCACGGAGGCCUUCGUGCUAUCAAAUUAUUUUCACUGAUACGGCUUCCAAAUCAACGAUCAGCUCUGUUGAACUUGAUCUACGCUAUUGAAAGUAUUUGAAAACUAAAUUUCAUAAUUUUUCGUUACAUCAUUUACCUACUCAAAUGACUAGUCUAAAAAUAAAAAUUUCAUAAAAAAUGGUGAUAAAAGGUUUGAAAUUAAGAUAAGAGAUACUUUAUUCUAAAUAGUGAAAAAAAAAAAUUCUAUAAAACUUUUAUCAGAUUUAGAUUAUUUUACACUGUUAAAUUCAAAAAUAUUGUAAAUUCAAAAAUACAUCACAUCGAUCAUUAAAAUUGUCAAUUUUGAAAUAUUUUUCUCACUAGCCGAAUAAUGUCGAAAAAUUAUGACAUUUAGUUUUCAAAUACUUUCAUCCGUGUAGAUCAAAUCUAACGAAAUCGACUGACGAUUUGUAAGUUGCAUUAUUGAAAAUAACUCAAUAGCAUGGAGACCUCAGUGCUAUCGAUAGUAAAGCAGCCUAACUCAUUAGAGCACGACUACUAUAUUAUCAGUAGUAAAGAGACCUACGUGCUGCCAAUAUAAAUGAAAAUAAUAAUUUUGAUAAAAUAUUAUUAUAUUUCUGAUAGGAAUAAAAAUAAUAGAAUUUUUAUUAAUCGUUCAUACAUUAAAAAAAUAUAUUUUUACUAUACAAAAUUUAUUUAUAUUGUUUAGAAAAAAUUAUAUGUAUUCAUAAAAAAGCUAAAAUAGUUAUCAUAUUACAUAUAUG